rnacentral:rRNA from 1 species
GACAUAGGUGGCGAACGUUAUCCGGAAUUAUUGGGCGUAAAGGGUGCGUAGAUGGUGUAACAAGUUACCGGUGGGAAAUCAAGGCUCAACCUUGUGGAAGUUGGUAAUACUGUUAUACUUGAGUUCAGGAGAAGUUAACGGAACUCCAUGUGGAACGGUAAAAUGUGUAGAUAUAUGGAAGAACACCGAUAAAGGCGAAGGCAGUUAACUAUUCUGUUACUGACAUUGAGGCACGAAAGCGUGGGGAGCAAAAAGG